UCCUCGGUGGCUCAGAUGGAUAGAGCGUCUGCCAUGUAAGCAGGAUAUCCCGGGUUCAAAUCCCGGUCGGGGCA
rnacentral:tRNA from 1 species